rnacentral:rRNA from 1 species
UACGAAGGGGGCGAGCGUUGUUCGGGAUUACUGGGCGUAAAGGGCGCGCAGGCGGCUCAGACAGUCAGAUGUGAAAGCCCCGGGCUUAACCUGGGAACUGCAUUUGAUACUACUGAGCUUGAGUACGGGAGAGGAUAGUGGAAUUCCCAGUGUAGAGGUGAAAUUCGUAGAUAUUGGGAAGAACACCGGUGGCGAAGGCGGCUAUCUGGACCGUAACUGACGCUGAGGCGCGAAAGCGUGGGGAGCAAACAGG